rnacentral:misc_RNA from 1 species
GAUGAAGAACGUAGCGAAAUGCGAUACUUGGUGUGAAUUGCAGAAUCCCGUGAACCAUCGAGUCUUUAAACGCAAGUUGCGCCCGAAGCCAUUAGGCCGAGGGCACGCCUGCCUGGGCGUCACACGUCGUUGCCCCCCCAUCUACUCCUUCGGGAUUGCGGGGGGCGGAUGAUGGCCUCCCGUGCGCCUCGCCGCGCGGUUGGCAUAAAUGCCAAGUCCUCGGCGACGCACGCCACGACAAUCGGUGGUUGCGAAACCUCGGUUGCCCGUCGUGUGCGGUCGUCGCGCAUCGAGGGCUCGAAAAAAUUGCCGGGUUCCGGCUCGGCUUUCAACGCGACCCCAGGUCAGGCGGGGUUACCCGCUGAAUUUAAGCAUAUCAAUAAGCGGAGGA